rnacentral:rRNA from 1 species
GCACAAGCAGCGGAGCGUGUGGUUUAAUUCGAUGCUACACGAAGAACCUUACCAGAGUUUGACUUACAAGUAGUAGGAAAGGAAACUGGACCGACCCUUCGGGGAGCUUGUACAGGUGCUGCAUGGCUGUCGUCAGCUCGUGUCGUGAGAUGUUCGGUUAAGUCCGCUAACGAGCGCAACCCUCGCUGUGUGUUACAAGUGUCACACGGAACUGCCGGUCAUAAACCGGAGGAAGGUGGGAUGACGUCAAGUCAGCAUGGCCUUUAUAUCCUGGGCUACACACACGCUACAAUGGGAAAGGACAAUAGGUAGCGAAACCGCGAGGUGGAGCCAAUCCAGCAAAAUUUCCCUCAGUUCAGAUUGCAGGCUGCAACUCGCCUGCAUGAAGUUGGAGUUGCUAGUAAACGCAGGUCAGCCAUACUGCGUUGAAUACGUUCCCGGGGCUU